rnacentral:rRNA from 1 species
UAAGCGGAGGAAAAGAAACCAACUGGGAUUACCUUAGUAACGGCGAGUGAAGCGGUAAAAGCUCAAAUUUGAAAUCUGGUACUUUCAGUGCCCGAGUUGUAAUUUGUAGAAUUUGUCUUUGAUUAGGUCCUUGUCUAUGUUCCUUGGAACAGGACGUCAUAGAGGGUGAGAAUCCCGUUUGGCGAGGAUACCUUUUCUCUGUAAGACUUUUUCGAAGAGUCGAGUUGUUUGGGAAUGCAGCUCAAAGUGGGUGGUAAAUUCCAUCUAAAGCUAAAUAUUGGCGAGAGACCGAUAGCGAACAAGUACAGUGAUGGAAAGAUGAAAAGAACUUUGAAAAGAGAGUGAAAAAGUACGUGAAAUUGUUGAAAGGGAAGGGCAUUUGAUCAGACAUGGUGUUUUUUGCAUGCACUCGCCUCUCGUGGGCUUGGGCCUCUCAAAAAUUUCACUGGGCCAACAUCAAUUCUGGCAGCAGGAUAAAUCAUUAAGAAUGUAGCUACUCUGUAGUGUUAUAGCUUUUUGGAAUACUGUUAGCCGGGAUUGAGGACUGCGCUCGGCAAGGAUGUGGCAUAA